UUUAGUUAUUUUUAAAUUUUUUAAUUACAUACUAUAGCCGACGAAUACGUUAGGGUAUUCGUCGGCUAAACCCUAAAAUUUUUCUAUUACCUACUAUAGCCCUAUCUUCGGUGGUUAUUUUCCAUAAAAUUUUUAGACGACUUCUUGCGUCUCAUCGGUUUGAAACUAUUUUCAGUUGGAGGUCCGGCCAAAAUACGUAAUUUAGACGGUCGAACGACCUUUUCCGUGCGUUUAGGGGUUUGACUUACGAGAUUGACCGUCCGGAUCGAGCCCCUAUUCUUUUCGGAUCAAGUUGAAUUUUUUCCCAUACAUGUAUUUUGUCAUGAUGGUCAGAUCUGACGAUCGGAUUUCUGUUUCUCAAGUUUGAUCAUCACAAUCACAACAUGCAUACUAAUGUUGUAUAACUAGUUUACCAAGUGUUAUGUAAAUGUUCCGUUUCAAAAACAAACUAUACGUAAAACCUUCAAACGCCAAAAAGUCAUGAAAUAAGAUAUGACGAGAAUGUUGAAAUACAUCCACGGUUGAAAAAUCACACUAUUCCGGUAAAUAUUCUGUGCCGAUAGUUGCGGUCAAUGCAAGUUUUCAUUCUUUCCCCCUAUGAGUAGCCCUAUAUUUGGUGGUUAUUUUGCGUAAAAUUUUUAUACGACUUGUUGCGUGUCAUCGAUUUAAAACUAUUUUCAGUUGGAGGUCCGGCCAAAAUACGUAAUUUAGACGGUCGAACGACCUUUUCUGUGCGUUUAGGGGUUUGACUUACGAGAUUGACCGUCCGGAUCGAGCCCUUAUUCUUGUCGGAUCAAGUUGAAUUUUUUCCCAUACAUGUAUUUUGUCAUGAUGGUCAGAUCUGACGGUCGGAUUUAUUUUUCUCAAGUUUGAUCAUCACAAUCACAAUGUGCUAAAUGUAUAAAAAUACUUUUAGCCGACGAAUUUCAAAGGUUAGCCGACGAAUUUCAAAGGUUUAGCCGACGAAUUUAUAAAGUUUAGCCAACGAAUUUCAAAGUUUUAGCCGACGAAUUUAGAAGAUUUAGCCGACGAAAUUCGUAGCUUUAGCCGACGAAAUAAUUAUUUUGUUGGCUAAAGUUUUCGGGUUUAACUGCGAAACCCUAGCCUCCUCCCUCCUCCCUUCUAAUUAUCCCUCUCCCAUCUCCGCCUCCUCCCNNN
rnacentral:lncRNA from 1 species